GUGAAUCAUCGAAUUUUUGAACGCAAAUUGCACUCUCCUCGGAGAGUAUGCCUGUUUGAGGGUCAGCCUAUAAAAAAUUGACCUCGUUCCUGUUUCGCGGGGGCGUUCGUCGGGAAUUUGGUCAUCUUUAAUCCUUUUGAUUUAAGCGACCUAAAAUUUUCUUUUGGUUCCCUUAACGUUUCUCAGAUCUAUUCCUUUACACGUUUUAGGUAUCCAU
rnacentral:misc_RNA from 1 species